GUAACUACUUUAUCCUCGGCAGGAUCAUGGUAAAUCUGUAGUGAAUACAAGGAACACUGGGUGUGAGAUGUCUACUGAACAUUUAUGGAAGGAGUCUCCAGGGUUGGUGCUUUAACUGUCAAGAGAUCGAGAAAGAGAGAGAGAUCGAGAGAGAGAGAGAGAGAGAGAGAGAGACAAAGACUUGCUGUGAAGGAUCGACUGUAACAGCUGCUAUAACGUAAGUAAUAACAGGAGCUAACUUGUCUUGUGGAUGUUUCACACCAUUAAAUGUAACUAUAAAUUAUUAAAAAUCAUGAUGUAUCGUUCAUUAAUAAUUAAAAAAAUUAACUGUUGGCAAAUUGCUGUGGUAUAAGAAGAAUAGAACACUGGGAUAUGCUGUUAUAGGAAAACAAUCCACUUCAGGGUGGUAAUGUUCCUCAGCUUCUCACCAUCACAGAGUUUUAUCACCAUUGUCAUUGUGGUGAGGUUUUCUGUAAGGACACGUUUAUUAAACAUUUAUGGAAGGAGUCUCCAAGACCAGCACUUUGUAACAGUCAGUAACUGUUCUGCAACCAGUUUCUCUCUAAUAUGACAAGCUGCAUUUUUUGUCUUAUUAACUUCAACAAAGAAAAAAAAGAGAGGCAGAUGAGUGAACUGUUAAUAGUUAACUGUUAAUAGCUGCUAUAAAAUAAGUGACUACAGGAAGGAACUUGUCCCACAGAUGUUCCACAGCAAUAAGUAUAACUAUAAACGAUUUCUUUAGUGAAUAACAAAAAUGUAACUGUUACAUUUAAUACAUUUAACAAAAAUGUAACUGUUAAUAUAAUCGACUUUACGGUAGUAACAGUAACUCUGCUUCAUGUCAGUCCAUCAAACCACCCCGUUAUUGAUUAUUUUCCUAACAGCACACCCCAUCAUCUUUUACUCCUUACUUAUAACUCUGUAACACAAGCUACUUUUACUUUUUCAUAAAGCCUGCAUAAUGAGCAUAAGAAUAAUAUACCUCUCAUAGAUGUCA